GCUAUUGGCCGAAGGGUUGUGAGUAGGUUGGGCAUCGAGAACCGAUUCCUACAUGGAUUACGAUUCCAGUAGAAUCGUUUCUUUAUUGGAAUCUUUUGGAGGAUUUGGGUUUAAAUUCCAAUCAUUUCUUCCCAAUUUA